rnacentral:rRNA from 1 species
GAUGAACGCUGGCGGCGUGCCUAACACAUGCAAGUCGAGCGAUUCUCUUCGGAGAAGAGCGGCGGACGGGUGAGUAACGCGUGGGUAACCUGCCCUGUACACACGGAUAACAUACCGAAAGGUAUGCUAAUACGGGAUAACAUAAGAAAUUCGCAUGUUUUUCUUAUCAAAGCUCCGGCGGUACAGGAUGGACCCGCGUCUGAUUAGCUAGUUGGUGAGGUAAUGGCUCACCAAGGCGACGAUCAGUAGCCGACCUGAGAGGGUGAUCGGCCACAUUGGAACUGAGACACGGUCCAAACUCCUACGGGAGGCAGCAGUGGGGAAUAUUGCACAAUGGGCGAAAGCCUGAUGCAGCAACGCCGCGUGAGCGAUGAAGGCCUUCGGGUCGUAAAGCUCUGUCCUCAAGGAAGAUAAUGACGGUACUUGAGGAGGAAGCCCCGGCUAACUACGUGCCAGCAGCCGCGGUAAUACGUAGGGGGCUAGCGUUAUCCGGAUUUACUGGGCGUAAAGGGUGCGUAGGCGGUCUUUUAAGUCAGGAGUGAAAGGCUACGGCUCAACCGUAGUAAGCUCUUGAAACUGGAGGACUUGAGUGCAGGAGAGGAGAGUGGAAUUCCUAGUGUAGCGGUGAAAUGCGUAGAUAUUAGGAGGAACACCAGUAGCGAAGGCGGCUCUCUGGACUGUAACUGACGCUGAGGCACGAAAGCGUGGGGAGCAAACAGGAUUAGAUACCCUGGUAGUCCACGCCGUAAACGAUGAGUACUAGCUGUCGGAGGUUACCCCCUUCGGUGGCGCAGCUAACGCAUUAA